UCGCGGGAUGGAGCAGUCUGGUAGCUCGUCGGGCUCAUAACCCGAAGGUCAUAGGUUCAAAUCCUGUUCCCGCAAUAUGGUCCCUUGGUGUAGGGGUUAUCACGCCUCCCUGUCACGGAGGAGAUCACCGGUCCGAAUCCGGUAGGGACCGUAAUGGCUCGAUAGCUCAGUUGGUAGAGCAAAGGAUUGAAGCUCCUUGUGUCGGCGGUUCGAUUCCGUCUCGCGCCAUUAG
rnacentral:tRNA from 1 species